rnacentral:rRNA from 1 species
AAACCAUUAUAAUACAAAUAGAAAGGAAACUCGCGAUAAGGGAACCCCGAGUGCCCGUAUACGCCUUUUUUAAGCAGGGGUCUAAAAAGCAUCUGAAGAAAGGGCCGGGCAAGACCGGGGCCAGCCGCCGCGGUAAUACCGGCGGCUCGAGUGGUGGCCACUAUUAUUGGGUUUAAAGCGUCCGUAGCUGGAUUUUUAAGGCUCUUGGAAAAUCCGCCGGCUUAACCGGCGGGGGUGUAAGAGAUACUGCGAAUCUGGGGACCGGGAGGGGUGAGAGGUACUCCGGAGGUA